UAAACGUUGGCGGUGUGUGUAACACAUGCAAGUCGAACGAUCCUUAGGUGGCUUGCCAUUUAAGGAGAGUGGCGAACGGGUGAGUAACACGUGAGUAAUCUGCCCUCGAGUGAGGAAUAACUUCGCGAAAGCGGAGCUAAUACCGCAUUAUACUGUGAAGCAUAAGCUUUCGCAGUCAAAGCCCUUCGGGGCGCUUGAGGAUGAGCUUGCGGCUUAUUAGCUAGUUGGUAGGGUAACGGCCUACCAAGGUAAUGAUGAGUAGCCGGCCUGAGAGGGUGUACGGCCACACUGGAACUGCGACACGGUCCAGACUCCUACGGGAGGCAGCAGUGGAGAAUUUUGCGCAAUGGGCGAAAGCCUGACGCAGCGACACCGCGUGGAGGAUUAAGGCCUUCGGGUUGUAAACUCCUGUCAGAGGUGAAGAAUACCCUUUUAGGGUUUGACGGUAACCUCAGAGGAAGCCCCGGCUAACUAC
rnacentral:rRNA from 1 species